CAGGAGCGCUCACACAGCUUGGAAAACAAGCAGCUUGGUAGCCCAAAGCAACUUUGAUCUCAUCUUCUGAAGUGAAUAAUUUUCUGCAGAACCUGCAUUAUCUAAAGAGUUUUAUUCCGAACCUGGGUGAGAGCGGAGAGAGAUGCAUCUGUCACGAGCUUGGUGCAGCGAAGGGAUGGAAGCCCAGGUGAGCUAGGCUCUGCCUGGCCACGGGAAAAGGAGAUGUUCUGAUGAAAUGCCGCCAACGAUAAGAUCCUAUGGGAGAUGUUCCUAACCUGAGCAGCAGCUGGGAUUUUUAAAGGAUGGGGGC
rnacentral:lncRNA from 1 species